AGGAUGACCGCUAGCGGGAGGCUUAACACAUGCAAGUCGAGGGGUAUAAGUAGCAAUAUUUAGAGACCGGCGCACGGGUGAGUAACGCGUAUGCAACCUGCCCUUUACAGGGGGAUAGCCCGUAGAAAUGCGGAUUAAUACCCCAUAGUACUAUUGGAUCGCAUGGUUUGAUAGUUAAAGUUUCGGCGGUAAAGGAUGGGCAUGCGUGACAUUAGCUAGUUGGUGAGGUAACGGCUCACCGAGGCUACGAUGUCUAGGGGUUCUGAGAGGAAGAUCCCCCACACUGGUACUGAGACACGGACCAGACUCCUACGGGAGGCAGCAGUGAGGAAUAUUGGUCAAUGGGCGAGAGCCUGAACCAGCCAUCCCGCGUGCAGGAAGAAUGCCCUAUGGGUUGUAAACUGCUUUUUCGCAUGAAGAACACUCCCGACGUGUCGGGAGCUGACGGUAAUGCGUGAAUAAGCACCGGCUAACUCCGUGCCAGCAGCCGCGGUAAUACGGAGGGUGCAAGCGUUAUCCGGAUUUAUUGGGUUUAAAGGGUGCGUAGGCGGUGAUUUAAGUCAGUGGUGAAAUCCUGCAGCUCAACUGUAGAACAGCCAUUGAAACUGAAUUACUUGAGUAAUCUUGAGGUAGGCGGAAUGUGUAGUGUAGCGGUGAAAUGCUUAGAUAUUACACAGAACACCGAUUGCGAAGGCAGCUUACUAAGGAUUUACUGACGCUGAUGCACGAAAGCGUGGGGAUCAAACAGGAUUAGAUACCCUGGUAGUCCACGCCGUAAACGAUGAUAACUCGCUGUUGGCGAUAUACAGUCAGCGGCUUAGCGAAAGCGUUAAGUUAUCCACCUGGGGAGUACGCUCGCAAGAGUGAAACU
rnacentral:rRNA from 1 species